rnacentral:rRNA from 1 species
GACGAACGCUGGCGGCGUGCCUAAUACAUGCAAGUAGAACGCUGAAGGAGGAGCUUGCUUCUCUGGAUGAGUUGCGAACGGGUGAGUAACGCGUAGGUAACCUGCCUGGUAGCGGGGGAUAACUAUUGGAAACGAUAGCUAAUACCGCAUAAGAGUAGAUGUUGCAUGAUAUUUGCUUAAAAGGUGCAAUUGCAUCACUACCAGAUGGACCUGCGUUGUAUUAGCUAGUUGGUGGGGUAACGGCUCACCAAGGCGACGAUACAUAGCCGACCUGAGAGGGUGAUCGGCCACACUGAGACUGAGACCCGGCCCAGACUCCUACGGGAGGCAGCAGUAGGGAAUCUUCGGCAAUGGACGGAAGUCUGACCGAGCAACGCCGCGUGAGUGAAGAAGGUUUUCGGAUCGUAAAGCUCUGUUGUAAGAGAAGAACGAGUGUGAGAGUGGAAAGUUCACACUGUGACGGUAUCUUACCAGAAAGGGACGGCUAACUACGUG